UACGUAGGGUGCGAGCGUUAAUCGGAAUUACUGGGCGUAAAGGGUGCGCAGGCGGUCUCGUAAGCUGGGUGUGAAAGCCCCGGGCUUAACCUGGGAAUGGCAUUCAGGACUGCGAGGCUUUGAGUGUGGCAGAGGGAGGUGGAAUUCCACGUGUAGCAGUGAAAUGCGUAGAGAUGUGGAGGAACACCGAUGGCGAAGGCAGCUCUCUGGGUCCCUACCGACGCUGGGGUGCGAAAGCAUGGGGAGCGAACAGG
rnacentral:rRNA from 1 species